CCCAAUCGUCUGGGCGGACCAGUUCCUUAGUCAACCUCAAGCGGAGAAGGUCGUGUUUGGCUCUUUCAUAGUUUUUCUGUAGUUUUGUUGCAAAUCAGUGUUACUUCUAUUAUUUGUUUUUACAAUCCGCAUUUCUGCUAGGAUCGUCAAGAAACACGAGCCAGAUACAGUCUCACCGUUUGAGGUGGCUAUGGGACGGGUGAUGGUCAUGGAGAAGCUGUCCAUGGACACUGGGCAUACAUCUAAGAAGUCAAGAUACCAUGCUGUCUGGUCCUAGUACCUGUCACCAGUUUGGUUUGUAAACUGUAUCGAGUCAAAAUAUUUUAUUAUCUUUGGAAAUUGGAAUUUUCCAAAGAGAAAAAAUAUUUUAUGAAAGUCCAUAGUUAAUUAGAUUACAGAGAAUGUGCUCUAAUAAUUUCAGGAUAGAUUUAUAACAUCACUGGAAUGACUUUUGAGCAAUAAUUGAUGACUAUAUAAUUUUUGUAACAUUCUGAAAUGUGAUAUUAGAUUAUAGCAUUUAAUAUUUUAUUAUAAGGAUGUUUUAUAAUAUAAAAGGAUCUCAAAUUAUAGAUUAAUGGCGUGGAUUUUUGAUAUAUGAUAUAUCGAUGAAAAUGUUAAUUCACAUUGAAUUUUGUAUAUUAUACAUUAUCUUAUAGAUGACAAAGAUGAGUUACGGGAGUAUCAUGAAAAUAAAUAUGUUUGAAAUAAAAAUGAUUUUUUCAUAAUCUGCCAGUAUCGUACAUCAUAUUAAUACCAUAAAUCCUUUUCAGUCUGCCAUUCAUCCUAGAAAUCUUUGAGCGAGAGAACGAUAGACGAAUGUCGAAGCAAUUGGUUAUCGGCUGUGACGUUGUUGGCCUGUCCAUGAAUGAGGUGCGGUGAGACGAUAAGAUUUGUAUCGAAAGGGAAAGGGGUUAGUCUUUGUUUUUAGAAGGCCGUGUAAGGCGCACUUUGGUCAAAAUGUGUGGUGGCAUAACGCACGUACGCAUCAUAUCUUCGCACCUUCGGCACACAACCAAGUCGCGAGUCUUCUCAAAACCUUCAGCGCGCGAUGCACAAGACUCACUGCGAGGCAGAGAACUCGUACUACUGUCUGGUGAGCUCUUUCGUAUUGCCAACCACCCUUGUAACGUGUUUCUUCAGAUUCGGAACAUUUCUACUGAACGUGGAAGAUUCUCAAAGUCCCCUCCAGUGUUUGCGCUGCUAAUGCCAGUUUACUCUGAUCGUUGACAUGAUGCAAAAUUGACUAUGCCAGUAUCCAAUCAACCUCAUCAAUAUAUUCUGUUAGCAUAAGUUUUGAGGUAUGAUGAUUCGUAAUGCAUGUCAGUAAUUAAAGCAAAGAAAUAUGAGAGAAAUGAUCGUUGGUAAAUAUGAGUAGUUAAAGCAGUUUCAUGCAAAUUCAUGCAGAUUCAUGAACAAAGAAUAGCUAUGGGUACUACUAACAAAGCAAAUGGUGCAUAAGUUUUUAUAUUUUUCUAUGUUCUUUUGGUCUGUGUGCGCAAUAAUUAUUUUCACAGAUACGAUGUGAUCCUGAAAGAAACUUAUCCCUAGGUGGCAUAAAGGUACCCUGUAUAUCAAUAUUUUUAUGAAACUAGGGAUGGAAUUUGUGCGUUAUGUGUUUUCUAGAUUAAAUGGAAGCAUGGUCAAUAGAAUCAAUCUCACUGAGAUAUACAGAACAAGAGUUGAUUGAAGGAAGGAGGUAUCCCUCACAAUUAGAUGAUAUUAUACGAACUGACAUGUAUAAAUAGGACAGGGGGCAGGUGUAUGUUGAGAUUUUUUCACUGCAAAGUUCUAUUUCGCUAUGUGGAUUUUGUAUUCUUCGCUCUAAUGAUGGAGAUAGGAUUUAGCAAUGAUGAGAACUGCUUUGGAUGGAAAAAAUUGCUGGAACAUGAUAGAAAAUCUUUUAUACUUUGUUUGGUCAAUGCAAUUUUGUUUUAAGCCCUGAGGAAAAUUAUUUGAAUAUUGAAAAUUGUCACAGUUAACAAGUGCAAAUACAUUGGAUUUUUGAACACAAAACAAUAUGAAGAAUAUUGGAAAAAGGCUGGUUGGCUUGAAAGAAAUUUGCUUAUUAAUAUGAAUAUAUAUUUUAAAGUGUAUAUUCUGUUGUGAGGCUUCUCUUGGGGCUGUUUUGUUUUUCACAGUUUUCAUACAAAAAUUUUAAUGCUCUGGAAGAUUGCUGGAAUUGUAUAUAACGCUCGUAUAAUCUCAAUGUCUGGCUUAAAUGGGAAAAGGUAUGUUGGAGAUCCCAGAUUAUUUACAUUCUUAUUCCAGUUACUAUUAAUCAGCCCCAAAGAUCACAAGCACAUGGCUUUGGAUUUCGACUGGAUCCUGGCAUAUUACAGUUGCUGAUCAUGUAUUUGUAAGCAAACUUUACAUAAUGCAUAUGUUUGUACAUAGUCGAAUGUGCAAUGUUGAAAAAUUUAUUAUUAUAAUUUAAACUUAUGUAUUUAACUGUUUGAAAAGAGUUCAUAUGGUAAGGGUGGGCAAAACAAAAUGUUGUUCUGAGCUACAGGAAUGUUGCUGUGUUUCAUGCAAUGACUAAAUGGAGAAGACUCAUUCGGAUAAAUCUCUACGAUAUAAUAACAAGAUAUCUUAUUGAGCAAGAAAAUAUCGAAUAUUACUUAAUGAAUUCAUAUUAAAAGAAAAAUAGAAAAACCUAUAUUUAUUACAUAGCAAUUCUUCGAUAAUAGUAUUUCUUGUUGCUCACCAAAGUUUAAAUAACAGGUUCCUGCACUGCACGCUGAUAUCAUAUGAUAACAUAUCUACAAUAUUUAUUCAUCAUUUGAAUAUAAAUUUAAACGAAAUAUUAAGGAGAUGGAUAUUGUAAGAAUUCAUGUUCUAAUAAUUAGACAUUCAAGUACCAUAAUUUUUAAUAAUAUGUAUGUAAUGAGGUAUUUAAACUUAUAUACCUAAACAAAUUUUAUGCAAUUCUUGGAUCAGCUUUUUUUUAUAUAGUUUAGAUUUGUGGAUGGUUUAUGUGAGUAUUAGGGGAGGAAAGGGAGGGCAAAAAGAUUUUGCAUUUUCUUUCCACAGAGAUGCUAGCAGAACUAUGCACAUUUCCCAUCAGGUAUUCUUGUGAUAUCAGCCAAAGCAUGUGCAGCAUGGUAGUCUACUUCAGAACGCAUUGUACCUAGCCAGUGGAAGAUUAGAAUAUAGCUAUUUGAGAAAUGCAUCUUUUGAAACUGCUAAUGGGUGGAAAAUUUCUUCAUGGGAUGCAGAUGUUAACAUAUCCAUUGAACGCAUAUAUGUCCAACAACUACUAUUUCGUCAGAAGAUAAUACUGCACAGAACAUCCAUCCGUAUGUAUCAUGUAGAGAAAAACAUUCAUUAUUUGAAUUUUACAUGACCAUCUAAAGAAGGAUAAAGUAAUUUCAUGCCAAAGUAGUAGAUAGCUUUACUGUACAAUUGCAACAAUUUUAUUAUUUAAUAAGCUAUAGUAACAUAAUUUACAAGACUCAUUAAUAUUGGAGUAAAAUUACUCUAAAACAAAGAAUUUCAUUAUAACGAAGUAUAAGAGGUCGUUUUCCGAUAGAAAUGUUUCCCAGGUAAAUAGUAGCUAUUGCGGGAUAUAUUAAUAUUUUUCUUACAGGAAAGUGUUUGAGAUUAAAAAUAACAUUAUUUCUUUAGAUAAAAGCAAUAUGGAAGAAGUAUAUAAAGUGAUGUGAAUUUUAUUAUUGCUGCAAUAAUUUAUUGAUUGCUUUCGUUUAACGUAUAGAAUAUGAGUACAAGAUAUGAUAUUACAGAUUUGCUGUCAUGAAAUAGAAAUUUUAAUUUGCUUAUGCUAUGUAGCCAGGUAAUUCAUAAAGAUAUAAUUUAAAACAGGAGGCUCAUAAUACUUAAACAUAGGAAGAGGAAUAUUGUGUAGGUUGUGUGAAAUUAGUGCAUUCGUUCGUUAAUAUUUUAUUAUGCUAUUAUGUGAGAAAGUUCUUUGAUAUCAAAUAUGUGUGAUAAAAACAAGUUUUGUGUAAUGUGAUAACCAAAUAUACAUCAAGCUCAAGAUAAUGCGCAUCAAUAUUGCUAAAAUUGGGUGGAAUAUUAAUUUGGUAGCUAUAUACGUUGAGUUUUACAUAUAGUAUGACAAUUUAAAUCUACCAACACAAUUUAAUGAAUGAUGCUUGGUAUUAAAUUCUAUGGCUGGAAGAGGUAGAAAUAUUGUAGAAAUGGCUUUUGAUGCUAGCAAACUUUGGUGAGUGAAUUUUGUGAGUUAUAUUUUUUCAAUUAAAAAGGACAAUAAGACUAAAUUUUAAUGGCUGUAUUAAUUAAUAUGCUGUUUAAGUGCUGUGUAUUGCGCUUUGAAACUAUUCAUUGAUUUUAAACUACACAUUGUAUAAUAAUUGAUUACUUUGCUUCAAACAUUAUUGUACUGCUAUAUCAGUGUAUUGAGAACAGUUUAAUAAAUUGUUUAGGAAUUUUUGGAAGAGAAGGGAUGGGAGGGAGGGUACUAAUAAAUUGAAGAUUCAAUGGCAUUUCAGAUAGCAUCACUUAUGUGUGAUAUAGAAAAAUUGUCUAGCAUUGUGAGUUGUCCUUCUAGGAUCAAGAAUAUGCAUGAGAUGGCAAAUGCACUAUACUAAAUAGUAAAGGAAAUGUCUAAUUUCUAAUAUUUCAUUGUUUCUAUGAUGCUAAGAUAACGCUUCUCUCUUCCUGAUUUUUUAAAAGCAGUAUUAAUUGAGGUAUUUUUUCAACAAAAAUCAUUUUAUUUAACAUAUUGUAAAAGGUAGAAUUGGUAAUUUUCUCCUAGAAUAUAUUUCAUAAUUUGUGUAAAAGCAACCAAUUAACUUGCAACCAAUUUAGAUAUAACAUUCACUUGAUUAAAUAUCUAGCACUUCAUCAAUAUAGGAAGGUAUUAUGAGAAGUCGAACAAUUCAAUACAGGAAGAAAAACAACAUGGGUACACUAUCGAAAGUAGCAAUAAUUGUGAAGUUUAUAUUAAUGAAAAUAUUAAAUAUGAAAGAAGAUGUAUUUAUUUUAUAAAAACAGCUGACAUAUCGUAUUUCCGAAGAUUAUUUUAAUUUAUGAAGAUUAUGAAGAGAUUAUGUUGAUUUAUGAAGAUAAUGAAGAUUACGAAGAUUAUGAAGAUUAUUUAAAUUAUAUAUUGAUUGUUAUUUAUGAAGAUUAGUUAGAAACACAAGAAAUUCUCGAUAUUCCUGGUCAUGAUUUGGAUUCACCUGAUUGGGAGCUUCGCUAUACGUGAGUUAUACUUCGUAUUCUUCACAUUUGUUAAUCAGCUAUUUUUAGAGGCCACAUAAGUUUGUAAAAAAUUGUAAAUAAGGCUGUGAAUGAAGAUUAUUGGAAGAUAGUCGAUCACAAUUUUCUCAGGACAUCAGUAAUCGUUAAAACUUGAAAUAAAUCUAGUAAAAGGAUCCUUGAAAACAUCGAUGGUGUCCCAAUGCCCGAUCGACUAGAGGAUGGGAUUGGUCGUCGAAUUACUAUGGCAUCGGCAAUCUACUAAUUUUAGAAGAGGUUUUCAUUUGGCAUCAUCAUCUCUUGGGUUAUACCUUCAUAGUCAAACUUUUAGCAGUUGAUCAUUGAAAUGAUACACGGAAAGAGGAACUUGUAGGAAUAUUUUUGGAAGAUGUCUCUAAAGGAUCUUCUAGAAGUGGAUUCGUUUUCGUUGUAGCAGUUGAUGAAAACAUCUAUUAUCGAAGAAUGGGUUAAUGGGAUCUACAUAUGGCGUUUGUAAUUUCCUGUGUCCUCUUUGAUUUUAUGAUUUUUCUUGUACGCGAUUAGAGGCGAUGAUUUUCAAUUGACCAACGUCCUUAAACAGACCUUUGAAUGAUCCAGAGUUCCAGCAAAACAGCCUAUUUUUUCAUUUUAAAAGAUAUUUUUUUAUACUUUGUUGGAGACUUCCUGCUUAUAGAAGAUAGGAUUUUUUUUCGAUAUUUAUUUUCUUUUUAGCUUUUGUUCAUUGUUAUUUUUUAAUAUUUUUCACAUCUAUAACCUUUUUAAUGUCACAAGUGCAUUAAUGCGCUCUGCAUUGUCAGCCUUGUAAUAGUGUUGUCACUUAGACAAAAAACGCAUGUAUAUACAUUUUGGUUUGAACUCGUAA